AGGAGGAAGAAUUUACCCAUUGCUCUGCGACCUGGCAGGCUGGGAGAGGUGCAGUACUGAGGCAGAGAGAAAGUGCUGGCGGAAGAGAGAUGGAUGCUGAUGUGGAUGGGAGAGGGAGACCUCAUGAAGGAGAUAAAGUCUGAAGGUCAGCAGAAAGGCAAGCGAAGGAUGUGUAAGGUGGAGGGGACUGAAAAGCAAAGGCAGAGAGGCGAGGAGUGCAGAUGGGUAAUGUGCCAACAUCAUAACAAGGUUCAAGGGAGGCACAUCUCAUACGAGUGUGAAAAGGCAAUCAUCAUGCUUAUGAACUACAAGAUUAUCCUAUAUAUUCAUUUUCAAUUAUUUUAUCCUCCUCUGCCUCUUGCCCUGGACUAUAUAAGACCUGCAAUAUAAUGUUGAAUAAGGAAGGUGAAAACGAACAUCAUUGCAUCACUCCUGAUAUCAAAGGGUGCAGAACAGUAAACUAUAAUUUAAACAAGAAUCGAGACCUAAUUUAAAUCAUCGGAUCUACUGCGGAAAAAGGCAAACAGAACGACUAUAUUCUGCACGUGAUUUAGAGCUUCGCCUCGGUGCCAUUUCCGGGAGACCUAGAAAGUUCCAAGUUCUGAUCUCCCCUUCCCUACCUCUUUUCUUGACGUCUCUGGAACAAGCUAUCUGAAAGGAGAAAUAGUCACAUCACAAUUUUUUUUUUCUGGGCUCAUGUGAAUAUUGUUUCAGGGACAAGAAGAAAAAAAAAUUUGUCUUCUCUAUUUCCUUAAGAAGGUCAGCAAGAUGGAACAGUUGCAUUUCAUAUGCAGCCUCUCGAAGGACAUUCAUUUUCUCCAGCAGAGCCCCAGGGUGGACAAGGAGGGCCAGCUGUGUGCAGCGUCUGUUGUGUACAGCAUUCAGGACAAUGUCCUCUUGGAUCCCGAGCUCUCCACACAGACAGAGCAGAUAAAGGAAGGUCCCUCUCCUGGUCUUCCUUCCAGGGAGGCUGUUGCUGAGAGAGGUUAAGGGACCUCCCAGAGUCCUCCUCAGGUGGGAGCGGAAGGUUGGCAUUGCUGACCUCCCAUAAGCUUUUACCUGAACUUGGGCUCUGCCUGUCUUUGUUCUGAGGAAUGAGACUGCAAAGAAGCUCCCGAUCUGAAAAGGUGGCAUUUGCUAAGUUAGAAAAUGGAAGUACCACCCAGUCUGGGGGAUCCCAUAGGCACCCAAGAGUGCACCAAGCCACUAGGACCAAGCUCACCUGAGAGUCCCACCCUGCUCGGAAUAUGCAGACUUGGUGUCCUGUCGCUUUAAAGCACUCCAUGCCUGGAAAUGCCACGGCCCACAUGGAAUGGGCACAGCCAACAACUCUCCAAGGAGCCCCAGCAAUGAAUGAUGAGCAUCUCCCCUGAACCCAUCUCCCCAUGUCCGGUGUUUAAAGUGAAUUGAAAUGAAUAUCUGAUAAAUGAAUAAACCUGUAAAUGGAAUCAAAAACCUUAUGAACUUGAAGGAGAAAUAGGAGUCCCAGGUCUGUUAAGUCUAAAUUGAAUAAAUCUGAUCAACUGCCUGACAAUUUCUGCCAACAGCUUUUGAAGAGGAAGAAAAGGGGUGAGCAGAGAAAUUGGGUAGAGGAGAGGGAAGAGCGAGUGGGGUAGGGGAGGCAGGCAUGACUCAGUAAUGAAGCUAUCACCAGGAGUCCCCAGUGUUCCUUACCUGGACUAAUAAAUGGAUGACAAUAGGAGUUCCUUGCAAGUCUGUCUGCUCCUGUGUGUCUGCCCAGAGGACACCUCUAGAGAAUGAGAGAUUUGCAUAAAAUGGGGCCAAAGUCUCCUUUUGGGCCUUGCUGGACAAGGAGCUGAGGAAGAACUCUGGAGUCCUGGAAUCAGCUACUGGGCCUAGAUGAUCUCACCUGCUAGGAUGGGUCUGUAUGUUUGGGUAGCUUGAGCUGGAGGCAGGGAGGUCACAUUGAGGAUGCGCUCAAUGGCUCUCGAUUUGGCCUCUGCCACUCUUUGUUCUGUUGGGUAACUUACUUCCUGCAGUGGUUUUAAACAUGGCCACAGACUUCUUUAACACUCAUCUUAGUGAGAGGUGGUGGUGGUGGAUCUGUGUCUUCUUCUCUUGAAUCUAGGUGGCUUUGUGACUCCACUAAUACAGAACAGUGGCAUUGAUGCUGUCUGACUUUCCAGGCUGGGCUGGAAAAGGUUGUGCAACUUCUGCCUGAGUUUCUUGGGACACUGUCAUUGGGGGAAAACAGCCCCUAUGUAGGAAAUCCAAUUGCCCUGAGAGUGCCAUGCUGGAGAGGUGUUCCUGUUCAAGGCCAUGCCCCACUGAGCUCCCGGCCAGUGGCCAGGCUGGCCGUGGGGAAUGAACCCCGUGAGCCACUCAGUCUCGCCCAGCCUUCAGAUGACUGCAGUUCCAGCCCAUGUGUGACUGCAGCAGCUAAGUCACAGCUGCCUCGUCAAACUCUCCCCAAAUUUUUGACCUGCAAAAGUACAAACGCUAUAAAAUUAUUGUUUUAAGCUACUAAUUCAGGAGUAAUUUGUUAAUAGCAACCAAAACACACCCCUUCUUGGGUUUCAAUUUUUUUUCUGAACCAUGAAGGGUUAGACUAGAUAAUUUUUAAAACCAUACUUUGAAAGUUUUAAAUAGUAGAUGAACUUUUUUCAAUUGUUUUUAUUGUAGUAAAAUAUACAUAAAAUUUACCAUCUUAAACAUUUUUAAGUGUACGGUUCAGUGGUAUUAAAUAUAUUCACAAUGUUGUGUAACCAUCAUCACCAUCCAUCUCCGUAACUCAUUUCGUCCUGCAAAACUGAAACUCUGUACACAUUAAACAAUAACUCCGUCUUCCCCUUUCUCCUCCAGCCCCUGACAUCCACCAUUCUACUUUCUGCCUCUAUGAUUUAGACUACUCUAGGUAUCUCACAUAAGUGGAAUCAUACAAUGUUUGCCUUUUGGGCCUGGUUUAUUUCACUCAGCAUAAUGUUUUCAUGGUUCAUCCAGGUUGUAGUAUGUACCAGGAUUUCUUUCCUUUUUAAGACUGGAUAAUAUUUCAUUGUAUGUAUAUACAACAUUUUGCUUAUCCAUUCAUUUGUUGAUAGACACUUUUGUUUUUGCCAUGUUUUAGCUAUUGUGCAUUAAUGCUGGUGUGAACAGGAGUGUACAAAUGGAAAGAACCUGCUUCCAAUUAUGUCAAAUAGAUACCCAGAAGUGGAAUUGCUGAUUUACAUGGUAAUUUUAUUUUUAAUUUUUUGAGAAACCACCACACCGUUUUUCACAGUGGCUGUCCCAUUUUUGCAUUCCUGCCACCAGUGUACAAGGAUUCCAGUUCCCCACACCCUCAUCAACACUUGUUAUAUAUAUAUUUUUACAAUAGCCAUGAUAAUGGAUAUGAAGAGGUGUCCCAUUGUUGCUUUGAUUCACAUUUCUCUAAUGAUUAGUGAUGCUGGACAUCUUUUCAAAGCAUGUUUUUUUUAAAAAAGGAGUUCAAACAUCAUAAAAGGAUAACAGAAAUUAAACAGUUUUCUUCCCUACUCCUGAGUUCUUCUCACCACUGAGAGGUAACUAACUUUAACAUAUGACUGAUUCUUCCAGAAAUGCUUGUUGUGAUUACAACAUAAUUAUAUCUUUAUAAAAUUACACAUAGAAUUAUAUCAUAGUUAAUUUUUGUAAUUUCCUUUUUUUCCACUUACUGAUACAGAUUGGAGAUAUUUCCAUACCAGUAUACAUAGGUCUACUUCAUUCUUAAUAUCUGCAUAAUUCCAUGGCAUGGCUUGGUCAACGUUUACUUCUCUAGUCACUGUUGAUGGGUAUUUCAGUUGCUUCUAGGUUGUUUGGUUGGUAUUUUUUGCUACUGUAAUAAUACUGCAUUGACUAUUAUUGUAUACUUGUUUAUGCUUUUGUAGGUCAAAUUCCUAGAAGUACAGUUUCUGGGUCAAAGGAUAUGCAUUGACAAUUUUGAUAAUUAUUGCCAAAUUUGUCUUUUAAAGAGGUGGCACAUAUUUAUACCACCACAAUGAGGAAGCUAGUAUCCUGCUACCUUUAUUAUCUUUCAGGUUUUGUCAUCUGCUGGAAGAAAAUAAUAUUCUGUUUUCAAGUUUUCAUUUCUUUAAUUGUGAAGUUGAGCAUUUUUAUAUGCACUUUGAUGAUUUUUUAUACAAAAUUUCAAUCAUGCAAAAGUAGAGAGACUAUAUCAUGAACUCCCAUAAGUAGAUCACCCCAAGUCAACUGUCAUUAUGGGUUUACCACUUGUUUCAAGAUUGAUGAUUUUUAAUUUCUAUUUUUCAUUGAAUAGCUAAUUUAUAUCCUUUGCCAAUUCUAUAGGGCUGUUCAUAUUUUGUUUUUUUUUAAAUGGUUUGUCGGAGCUUUUCUUAUCAUAACAAAUUAACUUUUUGCCAUUAUAUGUUACAAAUAUUUUUCCUAUUAAACUUGUGUUUUGAUAUUAUUAAAGGUCUUUUUGUACAGAAGCAAUUUUACUUUUUAUAUCAAAUUUAUCAAUCUUUUAAAAAGAUUUGUAGUUUUGUGUUUUCAAUGAUCUUCUCUACUCCAGGAAUAUAAAAUAAAAUAAUAAAAUAAA
rnacentral:lncRNA from 1 species